CACAGGUGAGCCCUUCAUGUCCUGACACCGGGAGAAAGGGGACUGUGGAUUUGAUGCCAAGUCUUGUCCCUGAUAGGGACCAUGACACCCCGUCCAAAAUUGUAUCUCCGGGAAGAGGAAAGGUGCUCACAGGGAAUGAGAAGGAAGACUGAGAGAUGAAUAAGCCUGUGACUUUUUCAUUGGUAGUAGAAACAGCUGCUCAGAGUCUUAUUCCUUGGGAGGAGAGAAGGGGUUAUAGUUUCUGGGCUCCUGUUCUCUUUAUGCUGAGAGAGGUUCAUUCUCCACAGCACUUAGAAUAUCUUCUUCGGAGCCUGAAGGAGUAAGGAAUGGGCCACUCCCAGAAAAACUUGCUGUAUCCUGCAUUCAUAUUGUCACAGUUGCACAUGCCCAGGAGAAGCAUUUCACACUGUGAAUCAGAUCUCAGGUCAAGUCUACAGUAGCAGAGAAACAUCAAUGCAAGAUACACAACUCCAGCUAUUGCUGUGUGCAUGACCAUCCUGGGGGAGAAUAUAAAAAUAAAACAGAAAAGGGGAGAAACAGAACUGGAAUGAAGAUUUAAAAAAAUGGACAGUCGGGACAGCAAAAAGUUGAAGCUAAGGAGAGAACAAGAAGCAGGGACGAGAUGAGCUCAAACAGAAAAAAUGGGAAGGGAAUAACAAAAAAUAAAAUUCUUCCCAAUUGCUGACCAACAGUUCGUCUGCUGAAGUUUAUAUAAAAACAAGUACUGCUUCAAGAUGAGAGAGAGAAUAGUUAUCCUCAUGCUUCUAAUGGGAACUGAGCAAGCUGAUGCCAGAGAUAGUAGAUAGUUCAUUUGCUUUGGAAAUAAACAGGAGGAACACAUGAGGAUGUGAAAUUGGCCUGGGAAGAUGCUGCAGUCUGAACCCCAGGGAUUCAUCCUGACUCUGAUGUCAGAGACAAACUUUGGGGACUGUAAGGAGAAGCAAAAAGACAUUUUGGAUAACCAUCCUUAGAGACGAGGUCAGUGGUAUUUGCAUGGUGGAUCUCCUUAACAUAUGGGUGUGUGGCUGUUUUAGGUAAAAAUCUUACUUUAGUCACUUAGAAGCAUGUUAUCUUUUCUUUUAUUUGUAACUAUUUCUCUAUUACUUUUGCUUAGUAUCUUUUGAAUAUAUUCUUUAUUAAUAAACUUACACUAUAAGUUCAUAAAACUGAAGUGUUAAUAUAAAGUAUGACUUCUCAGAUGAGCCAAGAUGUUGCUGCAUGUUUUGUCUCAUUGGAGACAGCGAACUUGGUAAUUUC